UCCGUGUUCACCACGGCAGUCUCAUUAGAGUGCCCAACUGAAUGUGGCAACUAAUGGCAAGGGUUGCGCUCGUUGCGGGACUUAACCCAACAUCUCACGACACGAGCUGACGACAGCCAUGCAGCACCUGUGUCCAGGUUCCCUUUCGGGCACCCCUCCAUCUCUGGAGGGUUCCUGGCAUGUCAAGGGUAGGUAAGGUUUUUCGCGUUGCAUCGAAUUAAUCCACAUAAUCCACCGCUUGUGCGGGUCCCCGUCAAUUCCUUUGAGUUUUAGCCUUGCGGCCGUACUCCCCAGGCGGGGCGCUUAAUGCGUUAGCUGCGGCACGGAGGACGUGGAAAGCCCCCCACACCUAGCGCCCAACGUUUACGGCGUGGACUAC
rnacentral:misc_RNA from 1 species